rnacentral:rRNA from 1 species
CGCAUACGCUCUUUUUAAAGAUUAAGCCAUGCACGUGCUAGUUCAUACAUACCAAAUGUGAGACUGCGGACGGCUCAGUAAAUCAGUUAUAAUCUGCUCGAUUGUAAAGGUUAUUGGAUAACCGUGGGAAAUCUAGAGCUAAUACAUGUAUAAGGAUGCGAGAGAUCGUGUUCGAGGGCAUUUAUUAGACAAUUACCAACCGCGAACGCAAGUUUGCGUGGUGAAUCUAGAUAACUGUGCAGAUCGUACGGCCUAGAGCUGACGACAUUUCGAUUGAAUUUCUGCCCUAUCAACUUUUGUCGGUAGUGUAGUGGACUACCGAGGUUUUUACGGGUGACGGGGGAUCAGGGUUCGAUUCCGGAGAGGGAGCCUGAGAAACGGCUACCACAUCCAAGGAAGGCAGCAGGCGCGCAAAUUACCCAAUCCAGACAAUGGGAGGUGGUGACGAAAAGUACCCGAUGACGAUCUAAGAUUGUCAAUUUGGAAUGGAAUCAAUUUAAGCAAUUGGUUGAGUAGCAACUGGAGGGCAAGUCUGGUGCCAGCAGCCGCGGUAAUUCCAGCUCCAGUAGCGUAUCUCAAAGUUGCUGCGCUUAAAACGCUCGUAGUUGGAUCACAAACUGUGCAUCGGUGGGUUGUGAGGACGGAGUCAGAGUUGGGGAAUUGGUGGUAAGUCAUCUUGCGACUGGUAACUCAUAUGGCAACGUCUCGUAAUCGUAAGCCAGUGGACAGUAAUUGCACGUGAGGAUAGACACUAGCCUUGAGUGAGCAGGUGUUUGUGUCUCACGGAGUGUGCCUUGAGUAAAACAGAGUGCUUAAAGCAGGCUAUACGCUUGAAUGUUAUAGCAUGGAACGAACAAUCGUGUAUGGUGUAUUCUGGAAAUGGUUUGUUGGACUCGUCCAGCAUUCAUCAGGAUACGACACCGACCACCAGUUACGGAUGUUGGUUCCGUAUUGGGGUAUUGAUUAAGAGGAGCGGUUGGGGGCAUUGGUAUUUGGCAGCGAGAGGUGAAAUUCUUGGACCUGCCAAGGACUAACAAAUGCGAAGGCAUCUGUCCAGACCGUAUCCAUUAAUCAAGAACGAUAGUGAAAGGUUCGAAGACGAUCAGAUACCGUCCUAGUUUUCACUGUAAACUAUGCCGACCCGGGAUGAGCUUGGAGCCAUUGCUAUGCUCGGAGUUGGUCCCCCUGGGAAACCUGAAGUUUUUCGGUUGCGGGGGGAGUAUGGUCGCAAGGCUGAAACUUAAAGGAAUUGACGGAAGGGCACCACCAGGGGUGGAGCCUGCGGCUUAAUUUGACUCAACACGGGAAAACUUACCUGGUCCGAACAUCCGAAGGAUACACCGACCGAUAGAUCGUUGUUGAUGGGGUGAAGAGUGGUGCAUGGCCGUUCUUAGUUCGUGGAGUGAUCUGUCGGCCUCAUUGCGGUAACGAACGAGACUACUAUUUCCACUUGAUGAACCAAAGAAGGUAACGAUUGUGUAAGUUGUCGGCAACGAUGGCUAUGCAAUGGUUGCUGUAGGCAUUAUAGGCGACUGGUGUUGAAGCCUUGUUCUCGAACGGGGGGGAGACAUUGGGAGUUUAUGGUCCCUUUGGUAAAGCAAUGCAUUCUCCCCUGAGUAGUGUAUUGUAUCGUGGAGAGACAGCGGAAUAUAUUACAAAAUCCGAGGAAGUGUAGCUAUAACAGGUCCGUGAUGCCCUUAGAUGUUCAGGGCUGCACGCGCGCUACAAUGAUAGCAUCAACGAGUUAUCUGGAUCGAAAGAUUCGGGCAAUCUUGCAAUUGCUAUCGUGAUGGGAAUCGACGUUUGUAAAUACGUCGUGAAAGAGGAAUCCCUAGUACGUGCGAUUCAUGUAGAUCGCGCGGAUUGCGUCCCUGCCCUUUGUACACACCGCCCGUCGCUACUACCGAGUGAAUCGUGUCAUAAUGCCUUGGGAGCGGACGUUGCCUGGGCCUCGUGCUUGGCGUGACGCUGCGAUCAGCGUAAAAUGGCGCAAUUUCGAGGAAGUAAAAAUCAUAACAGGGUUU